UCAGCAUUACACAGUAAGACACUACUACUACUCCAGAAGAACCUCGAAGCCCAAAAAACCUCAAACACACGAAACAAAUUUUUCUUUCACAUCCAAACAAGUCCUUGACAUCGAACUUUCUCGAAUAUGGUAGUGAUAGAGCAAGAGAACACCGACGAUCGAAGCGCGAUUCCAUCCAACGCCACUGCCGCCGGCAACGACGAUUCCGACGGCUUCGAAACCGCCAGCGAAGCUGAUCUCGAUAGCGACUGCGAUGACGGUGGAGAUAUCAGCCGAGAAGAACAGAAGAAUCAUGAGCAACCGAAGGAGCAAGAGGGAGAACAGGAACAAGAUGUUGCUCAGAGAAGUGUUUCGUCUGAGAAUGCGUUGAUCAAUGAAGAGGAAUUGAAACAGAAAGCAUUGAGUGAAGCAAAUGAAGCAAAAGUAGAAGGUAACAAACUUUUUGUAGAUGGGAAGUAUGAGGAGGCUUUAUCGCAAUAUGAGCAUGCUUUACAAGUUGCGCCAGACAUGCCUUCAUCUGUGGAAAUACGCUCAAUAUGCCAUGCAAACCGUGCGGUGUGCUUUAUGAAACUGGGAAAAUAUGAAAAUACAAUUAAAGAAUGCACAAAAGCAUUGGAACUGAAUCCUGCAUAUGUUAAAGCUUUGGUGAGAAGAGGAGAGGCUCAUGAAAAGCUUGAACAUUUUGAAGAGGCAAUUGCUGAUAUGAAAAAGAUCUUAGAAAUUGAUCCCUCAAAUGGUCAAGCUGGGAAAUCCAUUCGCCGACUAGAGCCCCUUGCUGCUGUGAAACGGGAAAAAAUGAAAGAAGAAAUGAUGGAAAAAUUGAAAGAAAUGGGAAAUUCUGUAUUGGGACGCUUUGGGAUGAGCCUUGACAACUUCAAAGCAGUCAAAGAUCCAAACACUGGUUCCUAUUCUAUCUCAAUGGAACGCUAAGUUUUGUUGAGUAAAGUCGUAAUAUCACUAAGCAAGAAAGGCAGUCUAAAAUUACAAUGGUUUGAGACUUCAUUGGAAUGCUAGUCAUUAUAAGAAAACAAAGGUUAGUAAUGUAUCUUCACAGAGGCAAUUUGUGAUUGAUUCAAUGUGAAGGAGACUGAUAUUUCCUUCUGACAGUUAAUGUGCUUUAUGGUUUCAGAAGAAGAGAAUUGUUUUCAUCAAGUUGAAUAGUUUAUCUGAUUCCAUUGUCUAUUGAGAAAUGCCAGGAAAACAUUCUUUGACUGUCUUCUCAACACUAUUAUUUGGCAAAAACUCCAUGCGAAUCCCACUAAUUGAGUGAUCUCAGAUUAUCUAAUUCUAAUGAGACCAAUAAUAUGGGAGAGUGUUGAGAAGAGAUAGUGCGAUGUUCCUUGUGGCUUAAGGCUCUCUAAAUUAACCCUUUCUUCAUGAAGGGUGUGCUUGUUUAAGAAGUUAGAUAUUUGAAACGUGAAGUAUACUCCAAAUUUGUAUCUACUAUGGCAUUAAAGUAAUAUUGGAAUUCCGUGUAAAUAAAGUAGAAAGUGAGAUGAACAUUGUUGGAACAACGUCAGGGUGUAUUAAUCAUGUGGACAUUUGCUAUGAAAGCUGAUAUUGUAAUUGAAACUACAUACAAUUUGUGCUUAUCAUCAACACGUAUAUUAUAUAUUUGACGUGUGCGAGAGUUACCAUUGUA